rnacentral:rRNA from 1 species
CUGGAGGUAUCAGAAGUGCGAAUGCUGACAUAAGUAACGAUAAAGCGGGUGAAAAGCCCGCUCGCCGGAAGACCAAGGGUUCCUGUCCAACGUUAAUCGGGGCAGGGUGAGUCGACCCCUAAGGCGAGGCCGAAAGGCGUAGUCGAUGGGAAACAGGUUAAUAUUCCUGUACUUGGUGUUACUGCGAAGGGGGGACGGAGAAGGCUAUGUUGGCCGGGCGACGGUUGUCCCGGUUUAAGCGUGUAGGCUGGUUUUCCAGGCAAAUCCGGAAAAUCAAGGCUGAGGCGUGAUGACGAGGCACUACGGUGCUGAAGCAACAAAUGCCCUGCUUCCAGGAAAAGCCUCUAAGCAUCAGGUAACAUCAAAUCGUACCCCAAACCGACACAGGUGGUCAGGUAGAGAAUACCAAGGCGCUUGAGAGAACUCGGGUGAAGGAACUAGGCAAAAUGGUGCCGUAACUUCGGGAGAAGGCACGCUGAUAUGUAGGUGAAGCGACUUGCUCGUGGAGCUGAAAUCAGUCGAAGAUACCAGCUGGCUGCAACUGUUUAUUAAAAACACAGCACUGUGCAAACACGAAAGUGGACGUAUACGGUGUGACGCCUGCCCGGUGCCGGAAGGUUAAUUGAUGGGGUUAGCGGUAACGCGAAGCUCUUGAUCGAAGCCCCGGUAAACGGCGGCCGUAACUAUAACGGUCCUAAGGUAGCGAAAUUCCUUGUCGGGUAAGUUCCGACCUGCACGAAUGGCGUAAUGAUGGCCAGGCUGUCUCCACCCGAGACUCAGUGAAAUUGAACUCGCUGUGAAGAUGCAGUGUACCCGCGGCAAGACGGAAAGACCCCGUGAACCUUUACUAUAGCUUGACACUGAACAUUGAGCCUUGAUGUGUAGGAUAGGUGGGAGGCUUUGAAGUGUGGACGCCAGUCUGCAUGGAGCCGGCCUUGAAAUACCACCCUUUAAUGUUUGAUGUUCUAACGUUGGCCCCUGAUCGGGGUUGCGGACAGUGUCUGGUGGGUAGUUUGACUGGGGCGGUCUCCUCCUAAAGAGUAACGGAGGAGCACGAAGGUUGGCUAAUCCUGGUCGGACAUCAGGAGGUUAGUGCAAUGGCAUAAGCCAGCUUGACUGCGAGCGUGACGGCGCGAGCAGGUGCGAAAGCAGGUCAUAGUGAUCCGGUGGUUCUGAAUGGAAGGGCCAUCGCUCAACGGAUAAAAGGUACUCCGGGGAUAACAGGCUGAUACCGCCCAAGAGUUCAUAUCGACGGCGGUGUUUGGCACCUCGAUGUCGGCUCAUCACAUCCUGGGGCUGAAGUAGGUCCCAAGGGUAUGGCUGUUCGCCAUUUAAAGUGGUACGCGAGCUGGGUUUAGAACGUCGUGAGACAGUUCGGUCCCUAUCUGCCGUGGGCGCUGGAGAACUGAGGGGGGCUGCUCCUAGUACGAGAGGACCGGAGUGGACGCAUCACUGGUGUU